GACAGAGGGUGCAAACGUUGUUCGGAUUUACUGGGCGUAAAGCGCGUGUAGGUGGGAGUGCAAGUCCGGUGGGAAAGCCCGCGGCUCAACCGCGGAAGGUCGCUGGAAACUGUGCUUCUUGAGGGUGAUAGAGGGAAGUGGAAUUGCUGGUGUAGCGGUGAAAUGCGUAGAUAUCAGCAGGAACACCCGUGGCGAAGGCGGGUCUCUGGGCCGAUACUGACGCUGAGGAGCGAAAGCGUGGGGAGCGAACAGG
rnacentral:rRNA from 1 species